GCCUGGGUGGCUCAGUUGAUUGAGUGUCUGACUUCAGCUCAGGUCAUGAUCUCAGUUUGUGAGUUCAAGCCCCACAUUAGGCU
rfam:Felis catus breed Abyssinian Contig98376.1, whole genome shotgun sequence. [26-MAY-2016]